rnacentral:rRNA from 1 species
UAACUGAAGAGUUUGAUCAUGGCUCAGAUUGAACGCUGGCGGCAGGCUUAACACAUGCAAGUCGAGCGGGGGAGGUUGCUUCGGUAACUGACCUAGCGGCGGACGGGUGAGUAAUACUUAGGAAUCUGCCUAUUAAUGGGGGACAACAUCUCGAAAGGGAUGCUAAUACCGCAUACGCCCUACGGGGGAAAGCAGGGGAUCACUUGUGACCUUGC